UACGUAGGGGCCUAGCGUUGUCCGGAAUUAUUGGGCGUAAAGAGCUCGUAGGCGGUUCGGCAAGUCGGAUGUGAAAUCUCCACGCUUAACGUGGAGGGGCCAUUCGAAACUGCUGUGACUCGAGUCCGGUAGGGGAGUGUGGAAUUCCCGGUGUAGCAGUGAAAUGCGUAGAUAUCGGAAGGAACGCCGGUGGCGAAGGCGACUACCUGGCCUGUUCUUGACGCUGAGGCGCGAAAGCUAGGGGAGCAAACGGGG
rnacentral:rRNA from 1 species